rnacentral:rRNA from 2 species
GGGUUGUGAGGUUAAGCGACUAAGCGUACACGGUGGAUGCCCUGGCAGUCAGAGGCGAUGAAGGACGUGCUAAUCUGCGAUAAGCGCCGGUAAGGUGAUAUGAACCGUUAUAACCGGCGAUUUCCGAAUGGGGAAACCCAGUGUGAUUCGUCACACUAUCAUUAACUGAAUCCAUAGGUUAAUGAGGCGAACCGGGGG